rnacentral:lncRNA from 1 species
UUGAGGUCUUCUGAAGAAGUAUUACAGUGGGUCAGCGUGUGUUCCUUCAGUUCUCUCAUAAUUUCGUCUUCCUUUCCUCGUGUUGUCUUUGUCCUCUCUUUCUGUGUCCCUGUACUCUCUUGUUAUGGAGUCCUCCCAGUUUACUGGGGAUAAUGCUGAAGAGUGCAACAGUAACGAAUCUGGGUGGACGAUGUACCUGGGCUCCCCAGUGAAUAGUGAUGAUCUCAAAGCCAAUGACAGCAAAGGGAGUAAUGUUGGCCGUGGUUGUAGCAAUGAUAGAAGCAAAAACGACAACACGGAUUAUGAUGAUG